UUAAUUGAAACCAAAAUAGAGGUUAGUUAUUGUUAAUAAUUUUAUUGAAUUUUAAAAUUCCAAUUAAU
rnacentral:tRNA from 1 species